CACAGUAUUUGCCCAUACUAUGGUUACACAAUUUUGAAUAACAACAGAGUUACUCAAUUUUCGUGUUGUUUCACUUUUUAUGGAAAUGAAUUGUUUUCUAAUUAUUUUUGAAUUCAUCUUAGGGAGCGUGUAAAAAACUACCGAGUUUGAUUCACACUCUCACAAAUUUCAAUAUACAGUGUAAAGCGGGCCGUGUCGUAGUGUUCGUGUGUUUUCGCUUGGAGAACUCUAACUCUAGCAAUUGUUGUGUCCUACACUAAAAAAACUGCGCACGCUCCAUUCAAGUGUUUCAUCAAUUGGAUAUGAAAAUGACUCCGAAUUGUUCUUUGAAUAAUUUUUUAUCGAAUUCAAUCAUUUUUCACUUUCAUUUCAAGUUGUCACACACAUCAACUUACCAUUCCAUGAGCCGCACUUCAUUUACGUAUGAUUCCAACAUCCCUUCCAAGUGAAUUGCAUGUGCGAAACACUUUCGGUUGAUUUGUUUUGUUUUUAUGUGUCAAAUGAAGUGCCGUUUGUGCUAAAAAGUAGCAAAAUGGCGACAGAUUCCAUUCCAUUCCAGUCAGCGAGUGUCAUACGGCUUAGAAGCUCGACGAUUCUCCGGACUAAAUUUGUAAAUGUUUGCAAGCACAAGAUCACAGAGAUUCUGAUGAAAGCAUCUUUACGCUAGAGGCUUCUUCAACAGAGAAGUAAAGUUUAUAUUUGAUGAUGGAUUAUUAUAGAUAAAAUUAAAUUUUAAGUUUUAUAAAUAAAACAAAGGUUGCAUUAUAUGCAAUAAUUUCCAUGUAAAA